GAGGUCAUAUACAACAUGUCUCAUUCACGUUGCCGAGGAGUGGCGCACUUGACGAUAUACUGACGGUGUUCGACGAAAUGCCCCUGAAACCAAGGCAUCCUGACGUGCAUACACCGAGAUCAAUGUCUCAUACACGUCGCCCAGGAGGGGUGCGCUUGACGAUGAACUGACAUGACCCGAAGGGCACCUGCACUGCACUGACGGUGUUCGACGAAAUGCCCCUGAAACCAAGGCGUCGUUACGUGCAUAAACUGAGAUCAACAUUGACUCCACUGUCACAAGGCAUCAGCUUUCCAGCUGUAAUGUGAGUUCCCCAAAUGAAAGAAUACAUACUUAUAAUGCAACUCUGCACAUAAUCUUCUGGGAAGUCAUGGGGGCCAUAUGAAUCAAGCUCACUUCUGAUGUUUUGUCGGGUUAUAUGUUCUUCCGCCCUAAUCACUCUCGGUAUAUUGUUGCUGUAAAUUAUUUUCCAACACCACUAUAAAAAAGAUGCAUGACAUGAUGGCCCGGUCCAAUCUCGAUCUCUUAAUUGACAAAAUGAAUCAGUGUUUCAUGAGCCGGACCGGUCGAACGCGUCAAAAUCGACCAAGACACC
rnacentral:lncRNA from 1 species